rnacentral:rRNA from 1 species
CAGUCGCCGCGGGAAUACGAAGGGGGCUAGCGUUGUUCGGAUUUACUGGGCGUAAAGCGCACGUAGGCGGACUUUUAAGUCAGGGGUGAAAUCCCGGGGCUCAACUCCGGAACUGCCUUUGAUACUGGAAGUCUUGAGUAUGGUAGAGGUGAGUGGAAUUCCGAGUGUAGAGGUGAAAUUCGUGGAUAUUCGGAGGAACACCAGUGGCGAAGGCGGCUCACUGGACCAUUACUGACGCUGAGGUGCGAAAGCGUGGGGAGCAAACAGGAUUAGAUACCCCCGUAGUCCCUGUCUCUUAUAC